CGGUGAAGGAGAGCUUGCUCUUUGGAUCAGUGGCGAACGGGUGAGUAACACGUGAGCAAUCUGCCCCUGACUCUGGGAUAACAGUUGGAAACAGCUGCUAAUACCGGAUAUGAGACGUGACCGCAUGGUCGACGUUUGGAAAGAAUUUCGGUCAGGGAUGAGCUCGCGGCCUAUCAGCUUGUUGGUGAGGUAAUGGCUCACCAAGGCGUCGACGGGUAGCCGGCCUGAGAGGGUGACCGGCCACACUGGGACUGAGACACGGCCCAGACUCCUACGGGAGGCAGCAGUGGGGAAUAUUGCACAAUGGGCGAAAGCCUGAUGCAGCAACGCCGCGUGAGGGACGACGGCCUUCGGGUUGUAAACCUCUUUUAGCAGGGAAGAAGCGAAAGUGACGGUACCUGCAGAAAAAGCGCCGGCUAACUACGUGCCAGCAGCCGCGGUAAUACGUAGGGCGCAAGCGUUAUCCGGAAUUAUUGGGCGUAAAGAGCUCGUAGGCGGUUUGUCGCGUCUGCUGUGAAAACUGGAGGCUCAACCUCCAGCCUGCAGUGGGUACGGGCAGACUAGAGUGCGGUAGGGGAGAUUGGAAUUCCUGGUGUAGCGGUGGAAUGCGCAGAUAUCAGGAGGAACACCGAUGGCGAAGGCAGAUCUCUGGGCCGUAACUGACGCUGAGGAGCGAAAGGGUGGGGAGCAAACAGGCUUAGAUACCCUGGUAGUCCACCCCGUAAACGUUGGGAACUAGUUGUGGGGUCCAUUCCACGGAUUCCGUGACGCAG
rnacentral:rRNA from 1 species